rnacentral:sRNA from 1 species
GUUUGGGCAGAAGCUCUGCAGCCUCCACUGGGAGGGUGCGGGCUUUCACCUGAGGGUAAGCUGGAGACCCCUGCAAAGCGUGUGGGAGCAGAGGUGGCCAUGGCGGGCCAGGACAGGAGGGAGGGUCUGAGAGCAACAGGGAGAAGACUGAAAUAGCCCUUGUUCUAGGUGCUCGUUCUCAGGAAGCUGGCUUGGAGUGAGGACUGAGUGGACGCUGCAGGUGCCAGGAGGCGGUUGGUAGCCCGAAGGCAGAAGCACAGUAUAGGGUGUGUGGGCGACAUGGAGGCUACGUCUUUGUGGGGAUGUAGCAGGGACCUGGGCUGAGGGGGAAGUCAGCACGACUGUCCUGCUGCACAGCACGGUGCUGACGUCGAGGUCAAGGAGAAAGAGCAGGAGGCUGGGGGUGUCAGCUACUGGGACAUUGGCAAGAACGAAAUUAAUUCCUCUGGAAAGAGAUGGCUGGGUAAGUGCACCACUGAGAGAUGGCUGGGUAAGCGCACCACUGAGAGAUGGCUGGGUAAGCGCGCCACUGAGAGAUGGCUGGGUAAGCGCGCCACUGAGAGAUGGCUGGGUAAGCGCGCCACUGAGAGAUGGCUGGGUAAGCAGUGCCACUGAGAGAUGGCUGGGUAAGCGCGCCACUGGCCUUUCUGGUUGCCAACUGGGGCGUGGGAGGAGGCAGCCAGCCUUCCCAUCCUUCAUGGUGACGGCUGUGAGCAUGGCUGUGAGAACCUGGCCUUGAGGGCCGAAUUCUCAGCACAGGUGAGCAGGCGGCUUGACCCCACACCUGCCCAGUGAGCUUUCAAGCUGUCUCCAGGGACGGCGCUGAGCCGGGGAGUUCUGCAUUUGUGCUUGUGCACAGACGGGAGGAGGUGGCCAACGCGCCAGUGCCUUUGCCACAGUUGCUUUUGGAGCCUCAGUUUUGAAAGAACUUAUGAACACUGAAGCAGGGACAGAUGACCAAGAACAGCUCCAGCCUGCAGGAGGUGGCAGGAAGGACAGCCCGGCUUGGACUGAGAUCCGGAGAGAGCACUCAAGAUGACCAAAGGAACUUAAGAAUUAGGAGAAUGUGAGUUCUUUGAGGGCAGCAGGGAGUGUUCACUGCUGUGUCGUCAGCUUUCCAUCCAUCUGUGAAGUGAAGCUCUUCUAGAAGUUUUCUGGAGAUUGAUUCCAGGCAGUCUGUGAUUUCUAAAUCUAGCCUCUCUCUACCACCACAUCGGAGCCUUUGCCCUCAACAGCCCUUCUGGGGGGGCUGGUCUGCUGUCCCGCCAAUGUCUUUGAUGUCGCCAGCUGCGAUUCAGUAUCUGGCUUUCAGGUCCUUUCCAAAAUCCAGGCGCUGUUCCCUGGGGUGUAGAGGGGCUGGACUCAGGUAGAGCAGCUCGGAGACCUGCCUGGCUCCCUUGGGAGGAUGGGUACUCCCUUUCCAGCCUCAGCUCAGAACCAUUCUAGAGAGAUACCUCCAUCAGCCAGCUCCGGUUUUGUCACCAAGAGAACCUGGGUUGGACGGAGGAUGUGGCUCACUUCUGCAGGUGCCUGCGUGUGGGUGUGCUCCCAGCACUGGGCUUGUCCUUGAAAACAGCAGCUCCUGACAGGCAAGAGGGGAAGGAACCUGGUGCAGCAGGUGCAUCUGCCGCAGCUGAGGAGGGACCUGGCCAGUGUGGAAGCCCCUCCCUCUCCUGGGGCUGGGGGUAGGCAGGAGCGAAGGGAUACAGAGAGGCAGGAAGCCCAGGGGAAGGGGUUCCCACUUUUAACAGCUCCCGGGAAAAUGGUGAGGACAUCCCAGGCCCGAGGGCACUCAACACUGCCUCGUUGGAAUUAAGGAAAUUGAUGGCACAAGCAUUUUGUGGGCACCCUGGGUGGUUCAUUUUGGGACACAGCUUCGUUGGCGGUGCUCUGCCUCACCCCUUGGGGAGGUAAAGGCCACACCGAGGUUGUGGGUCCCAUCCUUGCAGAAGAGCGCGCCAUGGGCAAGCAUAGCUUCCCCCAGGACACUCAGGUUUGCAAGUUCGCAGGGUGCCACACCUGCCGGCUGCGAGACAUGCUUGUCCCGAGGCCACACCACUUGCUUGCCAAAGACUUCUGUUAUGAACACAGCCCUGGUGAAGGCUCCAUUUUGCGGGGGCUCUUUGACCCUGGGUGUGUGUGGAGUCAGACAUUUGCACGUGUGAAUGCACGCAGGCCUCUCCUUGAUCAAUGCAGCCAUCAAGAGGCCGAGGUUAGACUUUGUGAGGCAGCCCACCUUGCGACCAGAGGUCCAGAAGGAAGAGUCUGUGUGCAGCGAACUGUGAGUGCCACACGCUUUCAUUCAACCCAGGAAAUGGAGGCUGCUGCUGACACGGCAGGAGAAGGAAGACCUAGCUGAAAGUUCACAGCAGAACGAGCUCCCACCUGUCUCUCAAUUGCAAAACAUUCAAAACAGAGGCGGUGGGGCCUUAGCGUGUCGGGGUAUAGAUGGGCCAUUUGAAAGCCACAACCGCUUAUGUGGUGGGUUGAUCUGUUUCAUCAGAUUCUUAUUUGGGGUUCGUGUCUUAUGUUGGGAUGUUUUUCACGUAGGUCACCCGUGUGAACAGAAAGUGAGAGGUUGUAGCACAUUGCCACCGUCCAGAUCUCGGGUCAUCGCAAACAAUGGAGCCAGCCGCUUCUCUGGAGGCAGCCUCCUCACGACUGGAAGCUCAAGGCGAAAACACGUGGUGCAAGCACAGAAGCUGGCGGACGUGGACAGUGAGCUGGCCGCCGUGCUACUGACCCAUGCCCGGCAGGGCAAGGGGCCCCAGGACAUCGGCUGUGAGUCGGAUGCCACCCGCAGGCGUAAGCUGGAGCGGAUGAGGUCUGUGCGCCUGAAGGAGGCUGGGGGAGAGUUGAGCCAGCGCGGGACGAGCGUGUUGGUGAGGAUUUGUUCAGCUGUCACUGUCCUGGGCUCCCCACGCAGACCGAGUCACUGUGCACGUCUCUCCCUGCCUCCCACAUGAUUCUCUCUUACCUUCCUCCCAAGUCCUAGGGACAGAAUAUAAAAAAAUCGGACUUUUUCAGCCACCAGGGGAAAUCCUUGAGAAUUAUCUGGAGAGCUGUUAAUAAAAGCCAGUUCUUGGGCGUU